rnacentral:rRNA from 1 species
GAACGGGUAACAGGUCUUCGGACGCUGACGAGUGGCGAACGGGUGAGUAAUACAUCGGAACGUGCCCAGUCGUGGGGGAUAACUACUCGAAAGAGUAGCUAAUACCGCAUACGAUCUGAGGAUGAAAGCGGGGGACCUUCGGGCCUCGCGCGAUUGGAGCGGCCGAUGGCAGAUUAGGUAGUUGGUGGGAUAAAAGCUUACCAAGCCGACGAUCUGUAGCUGGUCUGAGAGGACGACCAGCCACACUGGGACUGAGACACGGCCCAGACUCCUACGGGAGGCAGCAGUGGGGAAUUUUGGACAAUGGGCGAAAGCCUGAUCCAGCAAUGCCGCGUGCAGGAUGAAGGCCUUCGGGUUGUAAACUGCUUUUGUACGGAACGAAAAAGCUUCUCCUAAUACGAGAGGCCCAUGACGGUACCGUAAGAAUAAGCACCGGCUAACUACGUGCCAGCAGCCGCGGUAAU